rnacentral:rRNA from 1 species
GACGAACGCUGGCGGCGUGCUUAACACAUGCAAGUCGAACGGAAAGGCCCUGCUUUUGUGGGGUGCUCGAGUGGCGAACGGGUGAGUAACACGUGAGUAACCUGCCCUUGACUUUGGGAUAACUUCAGGAAACUGGGGCUAAUACCGGAUAGGAGCUCCUGCUGCAUGGUGGGGGUUGGAAAGUUUCGGCGGUUGGGGAUGGACUCGCGGCUUAUCAGCUUGUUGGUGGGGUAGUGGCUUACCAAGGCUUUGACGGGUAGCCGGCCUGAGAGGGUGACCGGCCACAUGGGGACUGGAAUACGGCCCAGCCUCCUCCGGGAGGCAGAAGUGGGGAAUAUUGCAAAAUGGGCGGAAGCCUGAUGCAGCACCGCCGCGUGCGGGAUGACGGCCUUCGGGUUGUAACCCGCUUUCGCCUGUGACGAAGCGUGAGUGAGGGUAAUGGGUAAAGAAGCCCGGGCUAACUAGGUG